GGACCUUUAGCUCAGUUGGUUAGAGCACCCGGCUCAUAACCGGUCGGUCCUGGGUUCGAGUCCCCGAAGGUCCA
rnacentral:tRNA from 1 species